CUACGGGUUGCUGCAGGCGAGAAAACUUUGCAAUGUGCGAAAGCACGACAAGGUUAAUCCGAGUGGUUUGUGCUAAACGAACCUUUUGACAGUCCUAGAAACACUGUUGAAUAAGGGGUGGGCAAGUUCUGGUGUCAGCCGCCGCGGUAAAACCAGCACCUCAAGUGGUCAGGAUGAUUAUUGGGCCUAAAGCAUCCGUAGCCGGCUCUGUAAGUUUUCGGUUAAAUCUGUACGCUCAACCUACAGGCUGCCGGGAAUACUGCAGAGCUAGGGAGUGGGAGAGGUAGACGGUACUCGGUAGGAAGGGGUAAAAUCCUUUGAUCUAUUGAUGACCACCUGUGGCGAAGGCGGUCUACCAGAACACGUCCGACGGUGAGGGAUGAAAGCUGGGGGAGCAAACCGGAUUAGAUACCCGAGUAGUC
rnacentral:rRNA from 1 species